UGAAUGUUAAACGGCCGCAGUACUCUGACUGUGCCAAGGUAGCAUAAUAAUUUGUCUCUUAAUUGGAGGAGUAGAAUAAAUGGUUCGACGAGAAUUUAACUGUCUUAGCUUGUUAUAAAAAACUUAACUUAAAGGUUAAAAGGCCUUUAUAAAUUUAAGGGACGAUAAGACCCUAUAAAGCUUUAUUUAUAUAAAUAUAAAUUAUUUUAAAGAAAAAAAUAAAUAUUUGUAAAUUUUGCUGGGGCGGUAAGUAAUAAAACUUUACUAAUUCCAACAUCUUGAAUGAAAUUAAUUUAGCGUUGUUUCAAACAAUAAUAACAAGUUACUUUAGGGAUAACAGCAUAAUCUUCUUAUAGAGUCCCUAUCGACAAGAAAGAUUAUGACCUCGAUGUUGAAUUGAGUUCCUUUCAUUAAGCAGCUAUAAUGAUCAAGAAGUCUGUUCGACUUGUAAUUACUCACAUGAUCUGAGUUAAAAACCGGGAGA
rnacentral:rRNA from 1 species